rnacentral:rRNA from 1 species
UGGGUACGGGCAGACUAGAGUGAUGUAGGGGAGACUGGAAUUCCUGGUGUAGCGGUGAAAUGCGCAGAUAUCAGGAGGAACACCGAUGGCGAAGGCAGGUCUCUGGGCAUUUACUGACGCUGAGGAGCGAAAGCAUGGGGAGCGAACAGGAUUAGAUACCCUGGUAGUCCAUGCCGUAAACGUUGGGCACUAGGUGUGGGGGACAUUCCACGUUUUCCGCGCCGUAGCUAACGCAUUAAGUGCCCCGCCUGGGGAGUACGGCCGCAAGGCUAAAACUCAAAGGAAUUGACGGGGGCCCGCACAAGCGGCGGAGCAUGCGGAUUAAUUCGAUGCAACGCGAAGAACCUUACCAAGGCUUGACAUGUGCCAGACCGCUCCAGAGAUGGGGUUUCCCUUCGGGGCUGGUUCACAGGUGGUGCAUGGUUGUCGUCAGCUCGUGUCGUGAGAUGUUGGGUUAAGUCCCGCAACGAGCGCAACCCUCGUUCCAUGUUGCCAGCACGUAGUGGUGGGGACUCAUGGGAGACUGCCGGGGUCAACUCGGAGGAAGGUGGGGAUGACGUCAAAUCAUCAUGCCCCUUAUGUCUUGGGCUUCACGCAUGCUACAAUGGCCGGUACAAUGGGUUGCGAUACUGUGAGGUGGAGCUAAUCCCUAAAAGCCGGUCUCAGUUCGGAUUGGGGUCUGCAACUCGACCCCAUGAAGUCGGAGUCGCUAGUAAUCGCAGAUCAGCAACGCUGCGGUGAAUACGUUCCCGGGCCUUGUACACACCGCCCGUCAAGUCACGAAAGUUGGUAACACCCGAA